rnacentral:Y_RNA from 1 species
UGCUGGUCCAAGGCCUAAAGGUAGUGAGUUAUCUCAGUUGAUUGUUCACAGUCAUUAACAGAUCAAACUUUGUUCUACUCUUCCCCACUUCUCACUACUGCAUUUGACUAGUCUUUA